rnacentral:misc_RNA from 1 species
GAUGAAGAACGCAGCGAAAUGCGAUAAGUAAUGUGAAUUGCAGAAUUCAGUGAAUCAUCGAAUCUUUGAACGCACAUUGCGCCCGCCAGUAUUCUGGCGGGCAUGCCUGUUCGAGCGUUAUUUCAACCAUCAAGCCCCAGGCUUGUGUUGGAGCCCUGCGGCUGCCGCAGCCUCCCAAAACCAGUGGCGGGCUCGCUAUCACACCGAGUGCAGUAGUUUACUCUUCGCUCAGGGCGUGUGGCGGGUGCUAGCCGUAAAACCCCCAACUUCUCAAGGUUGACCUCGGAUCAGGUAGGAAUACCCGCUGAACUUAAGCAUAUCAAUAAGCGGAGGA